rnacentral:lncRNA from 1 species
UCCUUUUAGACCGGUCUCAGGUCGGUAUUGGAUUGGGUCUAUUCUUUUUUCGGAUCGGUUUUGAAUUGUCUCAAACCAAUCCAAUCUAUUUUUUUAGGCAUGAUAACAGUUUAUAUUGAUCCGAUAUUGGUAUUAUUUCGAGAUCGGUCGGUUUUUUGUUCGUGUCCUCGAUUUUAAGUAGUGAGGUUUUACUUUGUGGGUUAGAUAAAUUCUUUAUACCAGUUGAUGGUGCCCUUAAAACUCUCCCAUCUUUCAAUCUCAGCCGUAAUAACUCAAGAAUUACGGCUAAUCGACCAACGGUUUUCAGCUCCUCCCCGCAUUUCUCACAGUCGAUCGUUUCUCCUCCUAUGUUCAAUCGGUUUUCAGGUUCCUUCCAAGACAUGGUAGUUCUCCUUCAAUCAUCACGAUACGGAACCUUCUUAGUCGGUAACUGCCCAAACCACGACCUAGAAAUCGGGCUUAUAUAAAUAUAUAAUGAUCCGUCUAUGUUUAAUGGUUCUAUGUUUCAAUCAAUGUAUUGAAUUGCUUCAUUUGAUGUUAACAAUUAUGGAUUCAAGUUCAGCUAAAAAUAGUUCACCUAAGGUAAAUUUAUCGACUUCUACUUAAUUUUUCAAUGUUUCAAUGAGUUUCAUCAAUUGAUUCCUUUUGUGAACAAUUAUCGAUAUACAAUUUCGUCUCAAAUAGUCUUCAACUAAGGUAAAAUCUUUACAAUUAGUUAAUUUUAUGUUUUACAUUCGUAGUUUUUUACCAUCCGACUUCGAUUUGUACUUCAUUUCAUCUUCAAUUUCGUUGUAUAAUCGACUUUAAUGUUCAUUUAUGUUUGUAUAAUCGACAAUCUUAUUGCUUUGAUCUGUAUCGUACUCAAUUUCAGGUUUCUUAAAUUCUUAAUGUAUACCGAUUAAAUUGGUUUGUUUGGGCUCUUUGGCUUUCAAUAAGGUUAACCCUCCCUUUCUUUGUCCCGAUUCCAAUUUAUGUAAAUGUUUGGGCUAUCUAAGAUGAUUAUGCUAAUUUCUUUUUUAUUACUUUAUUAUAAAUAAAUAAUUUAUUGCAUGAUACAGAGUGAUAAAUUUUUUUUGGAACUGCAGUUCCAAAUUUACUGCUUCAGCACAAUCCUUUAGCUAAUAAUCACCACCCUGUAAUGUAUAGUGAAGCAUUUGGUUUACAUUUUUGCAGGACCUGAUUAUUUAACAACUAGCAGAAGGAUAAUCUGCAAACCACAGGAAGAGGUUUGAUGUCUAAGAAUGAUGAUACUGAAGAUUUGAUGCUUGAACAUGAAUUAUAUUUAAUCACUCUACAAUCCCGUCUUAUAAAACUCCACAUACCUCAAAAUUGUCUCAAAAUUACAACUGUUCAAUAUUUUUCUUAUUCUUGUCAAUAUUUUCCAGUAAUCAAAUGAACCUAGCAUUUAAUUAUCUUUAUUCAACCUCCUGAAACUUUAUAUGUUUUGUUCGCUAAUAUCCAUUUUCAACAAUUUCAUUUCUUUAAGCAUUUAAAUUUAUAAAGUUGAAGUCCCAUAGAUUGGGCACAACUUUUUCCUAACCCGAUAUGUUGCUCCAAUUAGUACUUUGUGAUGUUUCAAAUGAAAAUUUUCAAUGAUGGGGACUUCAUGGAAAGUAAAAGAAAAUAAAAAAGGUCAAUAAUAUCUUUUUUGUUUUAUUUGCGAUUGGAUUUACCGGCUUGUAGGACAUUUUUGGGAAUGAAAUCUUAUUUUCUAUAUUUUUUAUACUUUUUGCAGGUUUUGAUCUAGAUCGUGUGUGUUGAGCUGACAAAAAUCGACCCAACCCGCCAACCCAACCUAAAAUUAGCGGGUUGGGUUGAAAUUUUCAACCCAUUUAACUUAAAUGGGUCAACCGUCUAACCCAUUUAAUUAAAUAGAUUGGGUUGGAUAUAAAUUAUCAACUCGUUUUCAACCCGUCAAUNUCAACCCAUUUAACUUAUAUAUAUAUAUAUAUAUAUAUAUAUAUAAUUUAAUAUUAUUUGAAUAUUAUCAUGUAUUAAUCAAAGUAUUAAUUUGUAAAUUAUAAUGUUGCAUUAUUAUUAUCUGUGUUUAAUAAAAUUCAAUCCUAAUUUCCAUCUUUUUUUUAACGCCGAUAAUACCGGUCACUCUCCAAAAUCACUGUGAAACUAAACAUUUUUAAUGUUAUUUGCACAAUUUAUUUGUAUUUAUGAAUUAGGAUUGUGCUUUUGUCGUAAUUAUGAAGUUUUAUUUACGUUUUAUAAUUUAAGUGGUAUAAUAUUUAAUUAUAUAAUUUAUUUAAUUGAUUUUAAAUGGGUUAACCCAAGUUUAACCCAUUUAUUUAAUAGGUUGGGUUGGGAACUACAUAAAAAAGUUAACCCAAUGACAACCCAUUUAUCUAAAAGGUUGCUUUGGGUUGGAAAUAUCAACCCAAAUAAACAGAUUCGGUUGGGUUGAAAUUUCCAACCCAAUUAUUAAAUGGGUUAAACACGAACUCAAACCAGGUCGACCCAUUGCAACCUUUAUGUGUGUGCAUUUCCUCCAGAGCAUCCUUUAUCCACAUCCAGACCUCUUCGUGAUUCUCUUGGACAUACUCCAUUAUAGGUUUCUCUUCCAUCUAACUCAUAUCAAGACUAAUUAUAAGAAAUAGCAACCUACUUUCUUAAUUUCUUUGUUAUUGCAUCCUAUUUCGUUUCUUCCUAUUAUAACAUUCUUCUUUUAAAGGAGUCAACAAUGGAUGACAUGAAAAAGAUUAACCAUGUAAUCAUGACUUGGCAUCCAUAUCAACAAAGUAACAAAAAUAUGCUAAUGGGUUAACUAUUACUAUAAGUGGGUUAAAUUUCAAUGUACAAUGUUGUAUUAAAAAGAAAUAAAAGUAUGUUGAUAUUUCUUGCAUUGUAACAUUUUUUAAUGGAAAAAGGCUUUUAAUUCAAUAAUGAUGAAUUGGUUCAACUUGAAACAUGUGGUUGUUGGGGCGGUGUUAGGAGGCAUGGUGGCAUUCGAUCAUCUCACAAAACCUAUAAGUAUUAUCCUUAUCUUCCUUUGAUUUGGGAUAACGAUUUGAAGCGGCUUGGAGUAGUGGUUAUAUGCUAGGGUGUUCGUUUGAUGGAUCGGUUUGAUCCGAUCCAAUCAGGUGAAUCCAAAUUAAUUUCAGUUUUGAAAACGUGAAUCCGAAUAGUCCAAAUUAAAUUCAAAUCCGAUCCGCACCAUUCAAAUUAGAAUUUGGUUGGAUCGGUUUUUACAAUUCGGUUUUCAAUAAGCGAGACAUUUAAAAAAAUAUAUAACAUAAUAUUAAUCAACUUUAGAAUAAAUUGUUUGGUGAGAAUUAAAAUUAUGAACAAC